CUCCUUGGUAGUGUUGAUGUUUUUUGAGUUGCUGCUGCUUCUGUGUCUGAGGGAACCGUAGAUGGAAGGAUGGUGUGCGAAAAAUGUGAAAAGAAACUUGGUACUGUUAUCACUCCAGAUAUAUGGAAGAUGAUGCAAGGAAUACCACAGAAAGUGGUGGAAGAAAGCUGAAUGAAAAUAAAGCUUUGACUUCAAAAAAAGCAAGAUUUGAUCCAUAUGGAAAGAAUAAAUUCUCCACUUGCAGAAUUUGUAAAAGUUCUGCGCACCAACCAGGUUCCCAUUACUGCCAGGGCUGUGCCUAAAGAAAGGUCAUCUGUGCAAUGUGUGGAAAAAAGGUUUUGGAUACCAAAAAUUACAAGCAAACAUCUGUGUAGAUGUAUUGAUGAAGUUACUAGCUUUUUGUGAUUUUUCUUUCUGCUUUGAAUUUUCAAGGCAUAAAUAGAUGUUCAACUUAAAAAAUAACCUAUUUCAGGACAAAUGAUUAAGUUUUAGCCAGGAAAGUUGAU
rnacentral:lncRNA from 1 species